rnacentral:rRNA from 1 species
UACGUAGGGCGCAAGCGUUAUCCGGAAUUAUUGGGCGUAAAGAGCUCGUAGGCGGUUUGUCGCGUCUGCCGUGAAAGUCCGGGGCUCAACCCCGGACUUUGCGGUGGGUACGGGCAGACUAGAGUGCGGUAGGGGAGACUGGAAUUCCUGGUGUAGCGGUGAAAUGCGCAGAUAUCAGGAGGAACACCGGUGGCGAAGGCGGGUCUCGUGGGCCGUAACUGACGCUGAGGAGCGAAAGCAUGGGGAGCGAACAGG